UACAUAAAGCAACGUAAAGAGGAGGUGAGAAAGAAGGAUCGAGAACGAGUAAAGCGUAAUAACCGAGGGAGAUGACGAACGCGCCACAUGAAGGGAGCCUCAAGCACAAGUGAAUGAGCGAGCGAGUGAAAGACGAAUAUUCGAGUGUGUGGAUAGAUAAAUAAGCAGGCAGGUGGGACGCGCGAGUGAACAAGCGAACGCGUUAGCGAACGAUCGAGCGAGCGAGCGAAAGGACGAGCGUAUGUGUCGAUGAAUAAGCGAGAAAGAGAGUUGUUCGGGUUAGGAGGGAGGAGAAGGGUCUUGGAAGUCGUCUGGCACGUAAGCACUUGCUCGAGAAGGACGUGGCGUCCUCUACCGAGCCAGCUUCUGUUUCGGUUAUAUUGACCGUAAGCAAGCGGCCAUGUAAUUACUUUUGCACGAAAGCAGAACGACUGUAAUUCUUUUAAUAACUCGCGUUUCGUUGAGAGCAAUGAAUGGAUCUGUCAGGAUGGGUGGCGGCGGCGUUUUAUCAACCAAAUUGUCGGACUAUGUGGAGACGAUCGAUUCUUUUUAUCUGCGCUGUAACACGAGAUCGAUCUCUUAUCGUGCCUGGGAUAUUUAUCUGUGUAGCCACGAUAACACCGUGGCAUUAAUAAGGAUAAUUACAUUCAUCCGAUUAUCGAUGUUCACUCGUUAGUUUACGAUAUGAGUGAUAUCGUUGACAUGGAUUGUGAUUCAGACAUAAUACAAUUAUGCAACACGAUAUCGUGGGAACACAAUGUUUUCUAAAAAAAAAAGGGUGUUGAAUUAAAUAAUGUUAUCUUGUAUGUAUUCUAAUAUGUAUUUAUAGCUCGUAACAGCUAAAUGUUACAAAUCUUUAUAAUACUUACUGAAUAACAUAGAAUCAAAAGUCAAUUUCUUUCCUCAGUUCGCAAGAACUAUUUGAUGUGUCAUCCUUCCAUUGGAAUGCAGCAAUUCAUGUGCGAAUGGCAAAUUAUGAAACACUGUAUGUAAUAUAUUCAAAUAUUCUUGCCUUGUUCUACAUUGUCUGUUAUGUAUGCGCUUUCCACUUACACUAUAAUUCAAGAUAAAUUAAGCUCGUUAAUCGUUCUCGGAAGAUACGAAAAUACAUUUCACACCGAGAACUCUGAAAUUACUGAUCAAAUUCUGGCGAAUACUAUAUGCCCUUAAAAUCUCGGAUAUCUUAUUCUCAAUAUACUGUAAUACUUUUCUUCUUAAUUAAAUCCAUGUCCUAUAAAAAUCAGAAUAAAUUUCAAGGAUAA